UCCUACGGGAGGCUGCAGUGGGGAAUUUUGGACAAUGGGCGCAAGCCUGAUCCAGCCAUGCCGCGUGAGUGAAGAAGGCCUUCGGGUUGUAAAGCUCUUUCGGCCGGGAAGAAAUCGGCUGGGUUAAUACCCCAGCUGGAUGACGGUACCGGAAUAAGAAGCACCGGCUAACUACGUGCCAGCAGCCGCGGUAAUACGUAGGGUGCGAGCGUUAAUCGGAAUUACUGGGCGUAAAGCGUGCGCAGGCGGUUUUGUAAGACAGGCGUGAAAUCCCCGGGCUCAACCUGGGAACUGCGCUUGUGACUGCAAGGCUAGAGUAUGGCAGAGGGGGGUGGAAUUCCACGUGUAGCAGUGAAAUGCGUAGAGAUGUGGAGGAACACCGAUGGCGAAGGCAGCCCCCUGGGCCAAUACUGACGCUCAUGCACGAAAGCGUGGGUAGCAAACAGGAUUAGAUACCCCGGUAGUC
rnacentral:rRNA from 1 species